rnacentral:rRNA from 1 species
GUUGGGUGUUUUUCAUCUGGGUGGAUGAGUGGCGAACGGGUGAGUAAUACGUGAGUAACCUGCCCUUGACUCUGGGAUAAGCCUGGGAAACUGGGUCUAAUACUGGAUACUACGUGCCCUCGCAUGGGGGUGUGUGGAAAGGGUUUUACUGGUUUUGGAUGGGCUCACGGCCUAUCAGCUUGUUGGUGGGGUAAUGGCCUACCAAGGCGACGACGGGUAGCCGGCCUGAGAGGGUGACCGGCCACACUGGGACUGAGACACGGCCCAGACUCCUACGGGAGGCAGCAGUGGGGAAUAUUGCACAAUGGGCGAAAGCCUGAUGCAGCGACGCCGCGUGAGGGAUGACGGCCUUCGGGUUGUAAACCUCUUUCAGCACGGAAGAAGCGAAAGUGACGGUACGUGCAGAAGAAGCGCCGGCUAACUACGUGCCAGCAGCCGCGGUAAUACGUAGGGCGCAAGCGUUGUCCGGAAUUAUUGGGCGUAAAGAGCUCGUAGGCGGUUUGUCGCGUCUGCUGUGAAAGCCCGGGGCUUAACCCCGUGGUGUGCAGUGGGUACGGGCAGACUAGAGUGCAGUAGGGGAGACUGGAAUUCCUGGUGUAGCGGUGAAAUGCGCAGAUAUCAGGAGGAACACCGAUGGCGAAGGCAGGUCUCUGGGCUGUUACUGACGCUGAGGAGCGAAAGCAUGGGGAGCGAACAGGAUUAGAUACCCUGGUAGUCCAUGCCGUAAACGUUGGGCACUAGGUGUGGGGGACAUUCCACG